AUUUUCUCAGUAAUUGCGAAUGAAGAGGGAGUAGUUCAGUUUGGAAAUUGGGGCCCCUUGGCCUUGAAUUGUAGUUUGGAGACGCGCCGCCAAUGGAGGCGUAGAUGUAUACCUCUUGGAAGAGAGCAUCAGUGAGGGUGAGAGUCCCGUUUGCCAUCUGCAGCCCGCUGUGCACGGGGCGCUUCCAAAGAGUCACGUUCCUCGGAACUGGAGCGCAAAGUGGGUGGUAACUUUCAUCUCAAGCUGAAUACGGUUUCGAGACCGAUAGUGAACAAGUACCAUGAGGGAAAGGUGAAAAGGACUUUGAGAAGAGAGUUACAAGUGCCUGAAAUCGCUGGAAGCAAAGCGAAGGGAACUAUGGCUGCUUGGUAAAAUCUUCUGCGCGCUCACAGGAUGGCUUGCUGUUUCAACGCAAGUGCGGCAGCUAGUCCCCAUCGAAGCGUGCGCUGUGUUUUUUGCCGCGCAUGUCAACGCCAACUU
rnacentral:rRNA from 1 species